GCUAAACGCGAAGAACCUUACCUACUCUUGACAUCCACGGAAGACUGCAGAGAUGCGGUUGUGCCUUCGGGAACCGUGAGACAGGUGCUGCAUGGCUGUCGUCAGCUCGUGUUGCGAAAUGUUGGGUUAAAGUCCCGCAACGAGCGCAAACCCCUAUCCUUAUUUGUCCACGCACGUAAUGGUGGGAACGUCUAGGGAGACUGCCGGUGAUAAACCGGAGGAAGGUGGGGACGGACGUCAAGUCAUCAUGGCCCUUACGAGUAGGGCUACACACGUGCUACAAUGGCGAGUACAGAGGGUUGCAAAGCCGCGAGGUGGAGCUAAUCUCACAAAAGCUCGUCGUAGUCCGGAUUGGAGUCUGCAACUCGACUCCAUGAAGUCGGAAUCGCUAGUAAUCGUGGAUCAGAAUGCCGCGGUGAAUACGUUCCCGGGUCUGUACACACCG
rnacentral:rRNA from 1 species